ACGGGUGAGUAACACGUGGGCAAUCUGCCCUUCACUCUGGGACAAGCCCUGGAAACGGGGUCUAAUACCGGAUAUCACUUCCACUCGCAUGGGUGGGGGUUGAAAGCUCCGGCGGUGAAGGAUGAGCCCGCGGCCUAUCAGCUUGUUGGUGAGGUAAUGGCUCACCAAGGCGACGACGGGUAGCCGGCCUGAGAGGGCGACCGGCCACACUGGGACUGAGACACGGCCCAGACUCCUACGGGAGGCAGCAGUGGGGAAUAUUGCACAAUGGGCGAAAGCCUGAUGCAGCGACGCCGCGUGAGGGAUGACGGCCUUCGGGUUGUAAACCUCUUUCAGCAGGGAAGAAGCGAAAGUGACGGUACCUGCAGAAGAAGCGCCGGCUAACUACGUGCCAGCAGCCGCGGUAAUACGUAGGGCGCAAGCGUUGUCCGGAAUUAUUGGGCGUAAAGAGCUCGUAGGCGGUCUGUCACGUCGGAUGUGAAAGCCCGGGACUUAACCCCGGGUCUGCAUUCGAUACGGGCAGACUAGAGUGUGGUAGGGGAGAUCGGAAUUCCUGGUGUAGCGGUGAAAUGCGCAGA
rnacentral:rRNA from 1 species